rnacentral:snoRNA from 13 species
GUGGCAGUUUUUAUUUAGUUUCAGCACUGAGCAGUGUGCUGCAACUGGUGCAACGCCACACAGAUCGAGACUGGUUCCUGCCGACAGGGCCUGUAAAGUCAUCGGUUUCCCUGUGCGAUGGUUCCAUACAUU